AGCGAACGCUGGCGGCAGGCCUAACACAUGCAAGUCGAGCGCCGUAGCAAUACGGAGCGGCAGACGGGAGAGUAACACGUGGGAACGUACCCUUUGGUUCGGAACAACCCAGGGAAACUUGGGCUAAUGCCGGAUAAGCCCUUACGGGGAAAGAUUCAUCGCCGAAGGAUCGGCCCGCGUCUGAUUAGCUAGUUGGUGGGGUAAUGGCCCACCAAGGCGACGAUCAGCAGCUGGUCUGAGAGGAUGAUCAGCCUCACUGGGACUGAGACACGGCCCAGACUCCUACGGGAGGCAGCAGUGGGGAAUAUUGGACAAUGGGCGCAAGCCUGAUCCAGCCAUGCCGCGUGGGUGAUGAAGGCCUUAGGGUUGUAAAGCCCUUUCGGCGGGGAAGAUAAUGACGGUACCCGCAGAAGAAGCCCCGGCUAACUUCGUGCCAGCCGCCGCAGUAA
rnacentral:rRNA from 1 species